UACGGGGGGUGCGAGCGUUGUCCGGAAUCACUGGGCGUAAAGGGCGCGUAGGUGGUCUGAUAAGGGUGUGGUGAAAGCCCGGGGCUCAACCCCGGGUCGGCCGUGCCGACUGUUAGACUAGAGUGCUGUAGGGGCAGGCGGAAUUCCGGGUGUAGCGGUGGAAUGCGUAGAGAUCCGGAGGAAGACCGGUGGCGAAGGCGGCCUGCUGGGCAGUUACUGACACUGAGGCGCGACAGCGCGGGGAGCAAACAGG
rnacentral:rRNA from 1 species